rnacentral:lncRNA from 1 species
CCCCCACUUACUCUUUCUUCCAUGUAUCACUUUCCCGAGACAUUCUGGAGAAGCAAAACAAGGAGUCACGAACCAGACCCAACAUCCCAAUAGGCUCUGCUUUCCAACACCUGAUCUUAAGUUUGAGAUUUUCUCCUGGACCCAGCCAACCCAAAUUCCAGUGCCAAUACUUGUUAGGGACCCUGAAGCCUGUUUCCAGCUUUCACCACUAUCAGGAGCCCAGGAGUCCAGCUUGCUCUUCCCCCGAUACCUAACUCUCUCCUUCACCCAGACAUGAGAACUCAGGACUCUGGACCCCAAACACCCCAUCCGCAGUGAUCCCAGAACCCCAGUACCCACCUACCUGGGAUCCUGGAGACCUCUCUUACUCUCCUGCCUGGAGAGGCUUUUCACAUUCACACCUCAAUUCCUUGCCUGUCUGGUCAAUUUCUAAACAUAACUGACCCUCUCUUUGGAAAACAGGGACAUAAUCUCUGAGUCUCUGGGAAGUUAGCAGGGGAGAAAAGAGGGCUCAGAGGGAGGGUGGGGGAUUCCCUUGGAACCUGCCCUAAUCCCCCUCCCUUCUGACCCCACCUGAGCUCCACUUCCAACAAAGCAAUGACCUCUGGCCUCUGCUGCAGCCAGGCAACCCAGCUCCAGGGGUUCUAAAUUGGAAGACCGUGCAAGUGUUCCUUAAAGGGACCUGCGAGGGGCGUCGUCGCAAGCUCUCUUCUCUCUUACAUAAGAAACUUAUAAUGUGACCUGUGCCAACCACUAUCGAUCUGUAAUUUAGGCGAGAAAAGUAAAUUAGAAAACUACAACUCCCAUGAGCCAAAGAGGCCAAGAUGCCCACGGAAGUAGACUCAUUUUGCCCCGGUCCGAGAGGGAGUUGUAGUUCUCUCUGAAAGUCUCUGUUCUUUCUCCUAAAAAGCAGGAUAUGUGGCGUCAAAAGGUAGGGCUUCCAAGAAAGGAGGCUAGGCUUUCGAGAAAAGGCCAGCGACUUCGACAAGGGGCGGAGCCGCUAGACAGGGGCCCGAGGAACCUGGAGCCAGCGUGGACCAAUCAGGCUGCUGAGAUCGGGUCCUCUGCGGGAAAGUGGGCGUGGCCUAGGGGGGAAAACACCAAGAAAGCUCCGGAGGGCCUUUGCCAGGAAGACGCCCUCUGCGGUGAAGGAGAGGGGGCGGGGAGCGGCGCUGGAAGUCCAGACUCCUGAGUCCAGGGGGAGGAGUCGUCUUGGGACAGACAUAUUC